rnacentral:rRNA from 1 species
CCUACGGGUGGCUGCAGUGAGGAAUAUUGGUCAAUGGGCGCGAGCCUGAACCAGCCAAGUCGCGUGAGGGAAGACGGUCCUAUGGAUUGUAAACCUCUUUUGUAGAGGAGUAAAAGAAGCCACGCGUGGCGUUCCGAGAGUACCCGAAGAAAAAGCAUCGGCUAACUCCUUGCCAGCAGCCGCGGUAAUACGGAGGAUGCGAGCGUUAUCCGGAUUUCUUGGGUUUAAAGGGUGCGCAGGCGGAAGAUCAAGUCAGCGGUAACAUUGGGGGGCUCAACCUCAUCGAGCCGUUGAAACUGGUUUUCUUGAGUGAGCGUGAAGUAGGCGGAAUGUGUGGUGUAGCGGUGAAAUGCAUAGAUAUCACGCAGAACUCCGAUUGCGAAGGCAGCAUACCGGCGUUCAACUGACGCUGAUGCACGAAAGUGUGGGUAUCGAACAGGAUUAGAUACCCGGGUAGUC